GCCUCGAUAGUUCAGUGGCAGAACGUUAGUCUCAUAAUCUAAAGGUCCUCAGUUCGAUCCUGAGUCGGGGCA